rnacentral:rRNA from 1 species
AAGGGAGAGGAAUACGUAGAAAUCUACCCCUGAGACCGGGAUAGCGUCGGGAAACUGGCAGUAAUACCGGAUAAUGUCUUAGGACCAAAGGUGUGAUUCCACUUGGGGAUGAGUCUACGCCCUAUUAGCUAGUUGGUGGGGUAAUGGCCUACCAAGGCGAUGAUGGGUAGCGGGUGUGAGAGCAUGAUCCGCCUCACUGGGACUGAGAACUGCCCAGACACCUACGGGUGGCUGCAGUCGAGAAUCUUUGUCAAUGGACGAAAGUCUGAACAAGCGACGCCGCGUGCGGGAUGAAGGCCUUCGGGUUGUAAACCGCUGUCGUAGGGGAACAAAUGUACGGGGGUUCUCCCCUGUAUUUGAGUGAUCCCAGGAGGAAGGAGAGGCUAAGCUCGUGCCAGCAGCCGCGGUAAGACGAGCUCUCCAAACGUUAUUCGGUAUCACUGGGCUUAAAGAGUUCGUAGGCGGCCUAGCAGGUCAGGUGUGAAAUCCCACAGCUCAACUGUGGAAUAGCGCUUGAAACCGUUAGGCUUGAGGGAGAUAGAGGUAGGCGGAACAGAUGGUGGAGCGGUGAAAUGCGUUGA